CUCAGCAUAGCUCAGUUGGAAGAGCGCGGGACUGUAAAUCCCGAUGUCGCUGGUUCGAUCCCGGCUGCUGAGA
rnacentral:tRNA from 1 species